rnacentral:rRNA from 1 species
UACGGGUAGUGCGAGUGUUAUUCUACUUGACUGGGCUUAAAGGGCGCGUAGGCGGUUUGUCGCGUCUGCCGUGAAAGUCCGGGGCUCAACUCCGGAUCUGCGGUGGGUACGGGCAGACUAGAGUGAUGUGGAGGGAGACUGGAAUUCCUGGUGUAGCGGUGAAAUGCGCAGAUAUCAGGAGGAACACCGGUGGCGAAGGCGGCUUUCUGGGCCUUACCUGACGCUGAGGAGCGAAAGCUGGGGGAGCAAACAGG